rnacentral:rRNA from 1 species
GACGAACGCUGGCGGCGUGCUUAACACAUGCAAGUCGAACGGAAAGGCCCCUUUGGGUUUACUCGAGUGGCGACCGGGUGCGUAACACGUGAGUAACCUUCCCUUUACUUCGUGAUAACUUCAGGAAACUGGGGCUACUACCGGUUAGGCAUCCUUGCUGCAUGGUGGGGGUUGGAAAGCUUCGGCGGUGUUGGAUGGGCUCGCGGCGUAUAAGCUUGUUGGUGGGUUAGUGGCUUACCAAGGCUUUGACGGGUAGCUGGCCUGAGGGUGCGACCGGCCACAUUGAGACUGAGAGAAGGCACAGACGGCGAAGGGAGGCAGAAGGGGGGAAGACUGAACAAGGGGCGGAGGCCGGAUGCAGAAAGGCCGCGUGCGGGAUGACGGCCUUGGGGGUGUAAACCGGCUGCAGCAGGGGAGAAGCUUGUGGUGACGGUACCUGCAGAAGAAGCACCGGCUAACUACGUG